rnacentral:rRNA from 1 species
UACGUAGGGUGCGAGCGUUAAUCGGAAUUACUGGGCGUAAAGCGUGCGCAGGCGGUCUGUUAAGACCGAUGUGAAAUCCCCGGGCUUAACCUGGGAACUGCAUUGGUGACUGGCAGGCUUUGAGUGUGGCAGAGGGAGGUAGAAUUCCACGUGUAGCAGUGAAAUGCGUAGAGAUGUGGAGGAAUACCGAUGGCGAAGGCAGCCUCCUGGGCCAACACUGACGCUCAUGCACGAAAGCGUGGGGAGCAAACAGGAUAGAAACCCCGU